rnacentral:lncRNA from 1 species
UUCGGGAGUAGACUUUUCUUCCUGAGUCACAGAUGAAGGAAAUUGUGAUUCUCAGGCAUGGUAGAACCUGCAGAAAAGUCAUGUGGAUUUGCUCAUCUAGAAAGCUGACAUCAGGAAGAGUUGAGAGCCUACUGUAGAGCCCAUCUCAAACUGCUGGGCCUGACAACAGAAACUUCUGAGAGAAUAGAGAGACAGGCUGAGGAAAGCAAGAGAGUCUCAAUGUGCUGCUAAGUGUGAUCAGACAACAAUGGAAAAUAUUGCAGCCAUUCACAUGAACAAGCAAUGAAUGCCACAUUUUGUCCUGCUUCAAGUCAAGCCACAAGCAUGGCUUCGCUUCACUGUUGGAAACAGCAUGGAAACAUGGAAUAUGCAGUGCUACCGCACUGUGCCUCCUCACUGCUGCAGCCUGAGUCAUUCAGAAGUCGCUGCAAAUAGGAUGGGAGCCCACACCAGUGCCAUCACAGCUUCUGUCUCUUAAGUCUGACAGGUCCAGACUAUUAAAAUCUCCAUGCUACCUUCAGCUACAUGAGUCUCUGAAGUUCCUAUGAUCCUCAGAGACACGUCCUCUGGAUUUGUAUCCCGUGAAACCUAAUCUGGUAUAGUAGUUUGGGUUUUAUUGCUGUGAAGAGACACAAUGACCAUGGCAACUUUUAUACACAAAGCAUUUAAUUAGGACUGAACCAAUUUCAGAGUUUCAGUCCAUUAUUAUCAUAGCAGGAAGCAUGGCAGUGUGCAUGCAGACAUGGUGCUUGGAGGAGCCAAGAGUUCUAUAUCUUGAUCUGAAGUCAGCAGCAGAUUGUGAGCACAGGUAGCAGGAAGUAUGAGAUCAUUGCUGCAGCUCAGGUUCGCAUGCCUUGAUAGAGGACUGGCCUCCACACCAGCUGCUAGAAGACAACUGGAGCUUCCUUCUGUACCCUGAUGCAUCUUUUCAACCGUAAGAUCCUGAUGUAGCCUUCAAAGUGACCACGCAAAGCAGAAGGUCCUCGGGAGAACUAGACUAACAGAUCCAAGAUUCAAAUCUCUGUGGACAAGGAUGUACAUUGGGAAACAAGAAAUCAUUUUAUACCGAGGAACUUUCUAUUACAAAGGGCCGUGGGCUGUGGGAGGCAUACAAGGUUGACGUUUCUGGCUAUCUUAUCCAUAGAUUGAACAAAAAGGCCAGAAGAUAAGGUCAAUCGGAUGUGUGGUUGUGCAGAGUGACUUAGAAGGCAAUGCCUGGGACAGCAGACCAAUUCAAUUCAUUUCCCCUUGUGGAGAUCCAUGAAGUCCCAAUUCUUAAUUAUCUAGUCUUUUGUGCAUUUGAACUGUUGGGGACCAAGUUCAAGAUUUCACAAAUGCAUAGAGAUAAGAUUGGAAUUUGGAAAGGAAAGACUGAAAUGAAAACACUGGAGAGGUCAAGACUCU